CUGAGAGCUACGGAAGCCAUCUUUCCUCAGCUUGUCACAUUCUGUGAAGAAGCCAGCAUAACAAUCCAGCACGUCAGACUGACAGUUGGAGAUCUCUACUGACAUCUUUUCUAAUGAAACCCUGCUGAGACCCCCCCCCCAGUCUUUUUGCAGAGUCCAAGAGCUUCUUGACAGCUCCACAUCAUUUCAGACACACAG